GUUGGGUGCGGUGGCGCAUACCUGAAAUCCCAGUGGCUUGGGAGGCUGAGACAGGAGGAUCAUGAGUUCAAAGCCAGCCUCAGCAAAGGAGAGGUGCUAAGCAACUCAGUGAUACCUUGUCUCUA
rnacentral:sRNA from 1 species